GUCAGCCCUUGUUAAAAAAAAAAAGAGAGAGAGAGAGAAAAAGUCAAAGCCAGCCCUACUUUGUUCUUAGAAAAGAAAGACCUCCUUAGUCAAAUCUGACCUCAGUAGCCAAAUCUCUGUCGCCUAAUCUGGCUGCUACAGAAGAUAACUCAUAACACAUUUCAAGUGAAUUUGAGACUGGACAGUAAAGGCAGAACGUCCUCUUGAACCUUUUCUGCACCCACCCACAUGCAUGGAUCUGUACCAGCAAACCCAAUCCACGUAGUAGGCCCAUGCCAUCGACCAUUUUGAGAGAGUCUUCAUCAAACAGCAGGGGUGGUGGAAAAACUGCUAAAGAAAGGAAAAAAAAAAAACAGAAAAACCCCCAUUUCUCUGCUUCCAAUUCUCAGCUUACCUCUAGAGGGUUAUUCCCCAAACUGGAUAUAGACUGUCCCAACCUGAAAGACAGUUUUGCCCCAGUUCUCAUUUGGCAUUUUUUUUCAGCGUAUCUGAAGGGCUUUAGACCUGCUGUGUUUUUAUCUGAUGAAAAUGCUGUCUUUCCUCCUGCAGUCCUACAAUCCUUUGUGGUGAGACUGUUUCAGUAUCAAUAUUAAUAUUCAAAUGUCAAGUUUGUGACACUACAUUUCCUGUACUAUUUAAAGCAUUCAGAACAAUUAUUAUCUGUGAAAUAUUAAACAGUAAAUUUCUGCUACCUGCUUACUAUUUCAACAGCCCUAACUGUGCCAGAACAGCACUUACACCACUCAUAUGCAGUUUUACAUAGAGAUGUAUUGUUCUGCUUUUCUAGCAGUACUCAUACAUUUUCCCAAAUUGACUUUUGUUGUUUUUAGCAAAGCCACCAUUCAUUCUCUUUUCUGGAGUGCCACUGAGAUCUGAAUCUCAACUGAAUUACUUAUUGGUACUUAUUGGUUCAGACUUUGGUCCAUUCAUAUUCCACAACUGACAGCAAUCUUCAUAUCUAACGAGCCACCGAGGAUUUUUUAAGUGUUUAUGGAAAGGUAAUCCUUUCUCACCUUAAUUCUACUGCUCUUCAAAAAAAAAAAAAAAAAAAAAUCUUUCCUUUUGCCUUUUUUUCUCCGUUUCAGUACUGAGCUCAACCUUCUUCUUUUGUAAUUAUCUAACCUUUGGUUACAAAUAUUUUUAUUAUAACAGAUAGGUGUCUUAAGAAGUAACACACGUCAGAGCAGUGCAGCUGAGAAAGUACUAACCUGCCACUCCUUCCUACCAAGCUGCCAAAGCUGUAGAGAAGCCUUCAUAUAAUAAUACCAACCGAAAACAGCGAAUGUCCGUUCUCACAUUCAGCAAGGUGUAUGUUAAUUACAGAGAUGGGUUUUUAUCCUGGUCAAAAAACAGCUCUGUGAGGAAUGCACAAAAAACAUGUCCAGGCUUCCACUAACAGGCAACUUUACAGGCCGGAGGUCAAAAUAAACAUUCCAAAUAACUCAAGGAAACUUUUACUUUCAUUGUAUGGCUUGAUGAUACCAUAGAGUACUACAGUAUCAUUGCAGAGGUCAGUUAUUUCCACUGUUCUCCUCCCUGAAACUGCAGGACUGUUUCAGAACAUGCAUGCUGCUUUCAGUCUUAAUUAACUUCACCACAAAUUCGAGCCAAAGGGGUCUGAUCCCAACCUUCCAAAAGCCAACAGGAGGGACGCCAGUGGGAAUAAAGCCUAAAACAACACAUCUACAGUAGUCAACAACUCUUGAGUUAUAUAAAUGCUUGCUAAUAUCUCUAUACUGACUGGCCAUCAACAUUUCCAUUAUAAUCCUUUUACUUGGGGACGUUUGUAUGCUGGAUCUUAUCCAUACUCCUCUCUAGCCAGCUGAGAGGAAUUGUUUUUGAGUGAAACAAGCCACCUCCCUCCCCUCCAGAGACCUGCAAACAACUAAUAAAGCCCUCAUUUUCCACACAGAUGAACAGGAUCCCACCACCCAGGACUGAAAGACAGUCUACCUGCUUUGCUACAUCAUGCUGCUGCUGAGUGGUAAAAGGUAGCUUCAGUCCUGCUGUAGGAAAUCAAGGGCUACCGGCUUUUUCAUGUAGUAUGCCAUGACGUGAAUAAUCAGGACCAGGAAUGCAACAAUGAGGCUUGAACAGUUAAUGAAUAAUGUGCCCUGUGAUUCGUCAUCAUGCUGUUUACACUGCAUUGAGAGUUAAAAAUGAAGUAAUAAACAGUAAGAUCCAGUCCACCAACACAAGAAGUCUGUCACAAAUGCUUUCUAAAAAGUACCAGGAGUAGUGUUAACAGCACAGCCAGUAUUCUUCCUACCCCAAUCAGUGAAACCAUCCUUAAAUUUGGUCUCCUGUGAGCCCCAGAAGGACAGCUACAUUAGCCCACAGAUGCGUGGCCACAUUAUAACUGGACACAUUACUUUGAAGUGUUUGAAGUAGCCUGAGUAUGACAGAAGACAUAGAAAAACAAAUUCCAUUCCACAAUAUGCAAUUCAUACUAAUGUUAAUUAAUUCACAUUCACAACAUAAGCUGAAGCUGUUCCAAAUAAACCAUUAUGAUACAUUCUGAGAACAUGUACUAGGAGCAAAACACAGAACUUGGCUUAGUUUAACCAACAUACUGAUACAACUUUAUAUGCAUUUCCCAAAGGAGUCUGAGUCUACCUUCUCCUGCCUGCUCCUGGAAGGACGUCAGUACCAGGCCCACCACACUGCUCAGCCAACAAUCAGCUCUAGAAGUAAUUCAGUUGAGGGGUACAACAUGAACGGUUUUCAGCAGUGAUGGAAGAAAGAUUCAAGUGCAAAUGCUUCUGAGAGGCCUAGCUGAAGGAAUGGGGACAUGUGUUGUCCUCAGCUAUCACAGUAAAGUAUGGUCCUUCUUCCUCUUCCCCUUCCAAGAGCUCUCCAUACCUACUCACUCGUCCUCAGGCCUCCCCAGAUGCCUAGAAGCAGAACAAGAUGGACAGGAGUAUGCAAGACAGCUUUGCCACCGCUCCCCAGGAUGUCCAACUACUCUCCCCACCUGUGUGGGAUGCAAUUCUGCUGAAGUGAACUCGAUGAGACCUCAGAGCACUCUAAUGUGCAGAAGCUAAGACAGGCGAAGGCAGAGGAAGCGUGACUAUCACCAGUAGCAAGGCACCAGCUAAGCGAGGGGAACCCUACACGGAGGCCAGCAGCAGGUUCUCUGGCUGGGGCAGAAGCUUCUCAGUGUUUCGUCUGAGGUACAAACACACAGAGUUGAUACACUUGCCUUGGCAGGUGAACAGAUUUGUUCUCAGCAGUAACCACAAAUUCUUUUCAAGUCCUGAGCAGAAGUGAAGAGAUGACCCAGGUCAGCACUCGUACAUCACACACCAAAACCCUUCUCAAAUACACAGGAAAAACGCGACAGAGCACAGCUACAGACCAAACCCCGCUUGCAUACACCACAAACGCUUUUAUUUUCCAUGCCCAUCCAAGAACGUAAAUUGUCCAAAGGCUGAAUACCAGCUCAUCACAAAGGACCUUGGAGCCAUCGGAGCUCCCUGCCAGCACCUAACGGGGCAUUUGCACAUCACAAACUGCCCACACACUCACGCUCUCCCCCAGGCAGAGCCAUGCACUUUGCACCUAGGCAGCAGCUUGUUUUAACUGCGCACCUACUAGGACAGGUCACAGUAAAACACACACAAAAAUGCUACUCGUAAGUAAGAAGGGAAAUCAGUGGCUACGACUGCAAAGCGCUGUUGCUAGCCAGAAACGAAGAGCACACAAUCCAGCACUGAACGACUGCCAGCAAGGAGGAGUCCCAGUUUAAGGCCGCAAAAACACUUGGAAAGCUGUUACUUGGCUGAUUACGUCUCUGCUGGAAGGGUAAGGUUUCAGAGUAGUGUGCCCAGCAGAUUAGAUGUGCAGCUCCCAACACAGCUCGCAGGAGCUGCAGAUCUGAACCACCGUGCACAGUGCAACUGUACCCUUGCACGUGUACUAGCAAUACAACCUGCCUCUGAGCAACACUAUGACAAAAAUAAUAGCAGUAUCAAUGAAACUCUACUCCGUGGGCAAUGACCACAAUACACGCUAGGCUCCCAUUGAAACGAACUGCUCUGUAAGAAAUGUUAAAAACCAAGUGGGAGAUGUAAAGGAAAUAGUAAGGGCAGGGUCUCUUUGGGGGAAAAAAAAGAAAAAAAGAAAAGCAAAAAGGGACAAUUUGGCAUUUGCAAUGUGUACAAGAUGCCUUCAUACACUUUCCUGAUUCCUUGCCAGUAACUAUUCAAAAAAGACCACUUAACAAGCAAACAGGUCUUCAGCACAACAAAUAAUAAAAAAGAGAGCAAAGCUUGUGCUAUUUAAAUAUCAUGAAACAUUCUGCUAAUCAUGCACAGAUGGAAGUACAGACGCUUCUGCCAGACGCCUUGUUCCAAAACUUUGCUCUAUUUUUAAUUAUUUGAUGCGCAGAGGACCUGUUUGCUGAUUAAAAGGGCGCUGCCUUUAAAAGGACUCCAUCAAUAUGGAGCCUGGUCUUGUUUUCCAUGGGAAUUUAGAAAGCAGUAACUCCUCACUGUGAGCUCCCCGGAACAAUUUGCUGUGGCUGUUUUUUGCCAGAUACUUCUCUCGCCCUGGGAGACUACCUACAGAUGGGAAAAGUGAAUCUAACUGUGCGCAGUACCGUCUCAAAAACGCUGAGUAAUUUCAUUUGGAUAAUGUUUCUUUUCCCACAGCUUCCUUUUGUUUGUAACCCUUCUGGUGCUACCUACAACGAGCACGGAUUUUCAGACGCAGGCAUUACUUUUGGCAGCUUUCCUUUCAGUCAGAGCGUGGCUUUUUUGUGAAAACACCUCCAAACUUCACCACCCAAAAUACUUACUGCAGGCAGAGCUUGGCAAAAACACUUAGAUUAAACUACAACAAAAAAAUCCCCACACAAAAAAUGGUGUGGGGGGGGGAAGCAGCCCUCGCAUUUUUCUCUUCAUACCUCCCGUGAACUUCACUCAUUCAGUGGGUACUUCAUUCCCGCACUUCUCCACAGCAGUCAAGGAAUUCUUCCCUCGGUGAAGAGCCUCACUCAGAAUGCACAGCGUGUUCAAUUUUUUCCUCCUUUCUUUUACUGAAUUAAGUGCUUUUCCAACAUCCUUUUUUUUUUUUUGGCUCAGUUUACCUUUUAUCUCGAAAGUUUUGCAAUCUAUUGCUGUAGCACUGUGCCAGUAGGGAACUGACUGGACAUUUAAGAAAAACAGCUCAGGCCGUUACUUUUGUCCCACUACUAUAAUAUGUAAAGAAAUACAUUUUUAAAGCUCGCUAAUGUUAAUGAUGGAAGCUGCUGCUAUUAGCACAGUGAGAGCCCUCUGACUAGCGGACCACAUGGUACGACAGGAAAGUAACAGUGACCCCAUUAUCUUAUGAACAAAUAACCCAAAGAGGGUGCCUCCCGGCUCAUGCCCAGCUACAGAGAAAACAGCCGAAUUACUUUUAAACUGCCAGCGUGUAAAAUUACACAAACACAUAAACGCGCCUGGUUUGUGAGCAACCAGCUGACCAGCCUGGAAAGCAAGGUGCCAGCUGAAGAGACGCUGCAGCUGCCAGCCAGGGAGGACUGGCAGGGGCAGGCAGGGCUGACAAUCCAAUGUGCCGCUCCAGAGAAGAAAUAAAGGCUUUUUUUUCCCCCCCGUGAGGAGAAGGGAGGGCUGUGUGGAGGAAAGGCUUGUCCUGACAGAUCAUUCGGGGCUGCAGAGCUCAGAACCCAGCUAUGACUAAGGAGGAAGGGAGGGAGAUCAAACAAUGUUAAAAUUGGCUGUUCUGCAGAUAAUGACUGAAGUACUGAAAUCCUGUAAGUGGAAACGGACUCUAGGCACACAGGAACACACACAAAGGGUAAGCCCAAAGAAGGGCAGCACGCAGCAAAGCGUUGGGCAGGGAGCAAACGUGGGGUGGGUGCCCUACAAGGGGGUCAGGUGCUGCCAGGAGUGCCUAGCAUAGGAGAAACUCUGCAGAGAAGGAGGUGAGAAGAGAAACUGACUGGCCAGCAACAGGAGAGUAUAUCAGGGAAAGGUUACAGCGGGACAGAAGGAUGAUGGGGCAAAAUAUUGCUUGGCUGUAUGAAGCUGUAUUCAGGCUGGACGUUAGGAAAUACUACUUCGCUGAAAGGGUGGUCAGGCACUGGAAUGGGCUGCCCAGAGAGGUGGUGGAGUCACCGAGCCUGGUGGUGUUCAAAGAGCGUUUGGAUGUUGUGUUGAGGGACAUGGUUUAGCGGGAACUAUUGGUGAAGGGCGAAUGGUUGGACUGGAUGAUCCUGUGGGUCUUCUCCAACCUUAGCGAUUCUAUGAUUCUAAGAUGAGUCUAAUUCACCAACACGUCCACGUGAAGGCCAGAAAGUGAAGACAGGUGACUGCGGAACAGUCUUCAUUCUCUCUUCACUUGAAGAAAAAGCCAAGCUACCACUCAACUACCAAGCAGCAUCCUAGCAGCAAGCUGACCAACAGCUACAACAUCAGAGGGCCCCAGCCCUCCCGGAGACAUGCAGCCAGAUGCCACAUUCUGUUACACUCCAUCCAUACGCAAGCGGUUCCACUCAAACCACAGCAGUAAUGACGGAGGUGGGCUCCAGACCGCUUACCCACCGCUGGCUGUGGUGAAGCACCUCGCUGCAACACAGGCAUGAAGCAUGACAAGCUGGUGCUGCAGCUCGGGCUGCACAGCACUGCUGGUUUCACAGAGGCACGCCGGCUAGGGCAAGAGCUGCACAAACAGCACCAAGUGCUGCAGCCAGCCCGCUGACAGCUCAGACAAACAGACUGCACAGUGCUGCUGCUAACGUAGCAGAAGCAUGUCUUAGUUUGCAUUUCUUCCAUUCCUUUCAAGCAGCAUGACGUCCAACAAGUUCAAGUCCUUAGGUAGCCGAUGUCUUUCUCGGUUGCUAUUUAAUGCCUUUCAGAUGCUUGCUAGGUACCUCCUGUUCCAUCCUACUUAGGGCCCAUUCUGGCUGCAUUCUGAACAGAUGUCAACAUUUGGAUAGUAAUGUCAUACAACAAAUGUCACUCAGGAAGUUUAUUAUCACAACUUUACUUCACUCAGUCAGUGCACACUAUUUCUUCUGAAUUUGCCUUAGAGCUGCAAUCAAAAUAAGCUCGUGGUGACCAACAAAUCCCAGGCUGUCCCCAUGUCAGUUUGUGGCAGUCUCAUAGAGGAAGACCACGCACCAUGGCUGAGUUAUUCCCCCAGCUCGUACAAACAUAGAACAAAACACAGAUUCUGAUUCUUUCUCCAGUCCUGCCAGGGUCGUAAGAGUCACCUAUAUUUUAAGUCAAUCCAUAACAUAGUCGUGCAGUGCCCUGAAAAAAGACACAGUGCAGUUUCAAACUACAGGUUAGUGACCCGUGACAUCCACCAUUCCUCCUCCUUCCCCCUCAGCACAGACCUCAAAGCACAUUAGACAGACUAUACUGCAGUGUCAGCUAUCACCCUACACCUUAAUCGACUGUCAAGUUCAAAAAGUAAAUAGGACUGUAUGAUCAACAACAAAAACAUCAGGCCAAAUCGCAGGGAACAUCCAAGAAGAUUUACUAAGACUGACAGUAGGAAACUUGAAACUCAUCCCUGAUUCUAAGAGGAGGCAGAGGAGACCUAAGGGAAAAGUUAAAGCAUCUUCUCAGUUCUGCAAACCAGAAGAUGCAAAGGAAAAGUGCCUGCCCACUUAUUUGUCUUUGGCCUUUCCACCAGCCCUGGAGAAGUAACGCUCACAGAGGAGCCCUGGUAAUACAGCCGGAGCAGCUGGUGAGGAUGCAGGCAGGCAGAACACAAAGGAGAGAAACACAAAGUCCAGGAUGGAUUAAUCCCUCGUCUGUAAUAAAGCAAGAGGGGGUGGCACCGUCUGACUUCCUUUUUGUUUUUGACACCAGCAAACAAUUGCAGUUCUGAGCAAUCUCCACACCUAUUAAUGACAUGGUUUGGGAGUUUGUUCGUUAAAACUGGAUGCUCAAACCUUAAGACAUUAGUAUGAAAUUAAAGUCUUGUAGUAAGAGAUGGUGUUCAUGAUAUCCAUACUGUAGUGUUUUAGUAUUGGUAGAACAAUGACUACUGGUACAUCUGCAGCAAAAUAUUUUACUUCGCAGUUCAAUUUUAAUCAAAAGGAAAUUUGCAUCCCUUGCUGAGGGAAGAAAAUACCAGUGAUCAAAUCUAUGGUACUUAGGCACAGCCUGAAGUGAUAGGCAAUGCUGCCCAAGCAGAGGCUCAAUCUUUAAGGCAGAGCUGCUAAGCCUGAAGAGGAAAGUGAUCAGAGAGCGGUUUGGACCAUGCAAAGGUGGAUGACCACAGCUACAACCUUUCGCCUCUGAGCAGGCAGGGGGAGAUCAGUCCAAAUCACCAUCUCCUAACUCUUGCCCACCUCUUUAGAAAGAAUCUGACACGAGGGUGCAGUAUGCAGCUCCCUCCUCAACAGCUACAGUGGCUUUUAGAAGAAUCUGUCAAGCCGGGACGUCCUGCUCAUGGUCACACUUCUUUCCUGACUCUCAUGAAGGAUUCCUGUUUGCAGUGAUGCCCAUACCUGCGAUCCUUUGAGUCAUUAGAAGAAAUUAAACUGGAUUAAAAAAUUCUAAGGGAAAAAAAAAGUGCAAUGAAAACUAUUUGGUUUUACUUGUCUACAUUACUGUUCCAUUCUUUACUUGUUAAAAUUACAUUCCACCUGAUGUUUGUGCCUUUGGCUUUAAAACAUGAUAUAUUCUGUAGGAAAAAACGUACCGCAGAGUAAAAUGGAACUUAUUUUUGUCUUAAAAAUGAGGAAAAAAAUCACCCAAGUGGCAGCAAAUAUACGAACAGAUAGAAUGUAAUUGUGUUAGCAUUUGAAUUCUGCACUUCAAGCUGCCUUUGAUCAACCUGAUUAACAUUCCUUUCUAAAAAUCUUAUAGCUGAUGCACUUCAUGAACACAGUUAAAGUAGAUUAAUCUGCUCUAAAUUGUACAUUUCCUAAGAUUACUGUUCCUCUGAUUAAUUUUACAAAAAACACGUGCGACUAUGUACAAAUGCAUUUUUGUCAAUGAUAAAAUAAACCCCUGAGAGAGCUACCAGUAACUGGCCAAGAGAUACCGCUGCAAACGUCUAAUAAAUCAGCGUGCCGUAUGAUGCAAUGCUAUGUGAUCUCAUACACCAAAUACUACACUUCUUGUUCAAGCACAAGAAAAAAGAGCCGUUGUCAGCUUAUACCACCUGACUGGUUAAAAUCCAAUUCUUCUGGUAUCACUACCUACACGGAAAUGCUGCCAGAUAGUCAAAGUGACUGCAGUUGGUCCACAAACCUUCCUCUACUAAAGUCAGUGAUAAAACGUUAAACACAUUCAAUGGCACGGUUUGACACAGUUGAAUUUCAGAGACGAUGGGUCUGAAAGGGACCCAUCUGAGCCGCGAUCUGAGGGGGAGGCUCACCUUGACCUCCCCAGGACAGCCGUGAGCAGACUCAUGUCCCUUCACCCCACAAAUCCCCGUGCCUGGUGCUGUAGCUAAGCGCUGCUGAACUCAGGUACCCUCUGGAAGCACUGCAAGGCAGUAAUUAGCGUGAGGCUUGUAAUGCAUUCCCCAGCCAGAAACACGGGUUGCUGUGGCCACUGGAGUCAGAGAGUAUGAAAAGGGGGUGGGGGGGGCACGGGGGGGGGUAAAGAAAAACAGGUAACAGCAGAGAAAGCACCGUGAUAUUUUAUUUAAGUAUCAAACAUUAAGAAAAUGACCAUUAUCAACUGAACUGUCCAAUGAGUAUUACAGGAAAACGGUGAUUUAAAGAAAAAUACAUUUCCAUUCGAAUAUAUUAUUGCAGUGGAGAGGAUUAACGAUGCACAGGAGACACCUCUGACACAAACGUGCAUUUCCUAAAUCGCGCUAAGGCUUUGUUUUGAUUUUUUUGGAGAAAUGAUGCCUUUAACAUCCUGCCUGCAGACGAUACGAUUUUAAAACGCAACCGCAACAGCCAUCUAAACCCUUCCUUUAUUUUCUGGGAAGCGCUGUGCUCCGCUCCCAUUAAGCCUACCGGUAACUGCGAGCUGUUAACAUGCCUUCGUGUGGUUUCGGCAUUCCUACGGCAAGGCUAAGCAGCAGUCAGAAAACAAUGAUAUCCCCAGGCCCGCACUGUAGUUUCUCAAGCAGAGAUUAAGCACGGUAUUCUGCUCAACAAGCUCAUCACUGUUAAGUAACUCAUCAGAAAAUAAAGAGGGAAUUAUCAAAUGGGAAUUGCCAAGUAAUUAGUUCUCUGAAGCAGAUGACAUACAACUGUUAAAGGGAGGGGCUUCCCUGUUAGUCAUAUGUCAGAGUAGAGCCCACUAAUCUGUAAAUAAAAAUGCAUUUCACAUGAUUAGCGCAAUGGGUUUUUAACCACUAGCGGUACACGAAGAAUUAAUUUGCAACUUUUUGUGCUGUAAUAAAGCCGGCAAGAUUUUCUCCCUUUGCAUACAAUGCAUUUCCCAACGCUGCGGCUCACCCGCUGUCACACUGCCUGGAGACAGACGGCCAUGAAGCCGGGCUGCUACCAGGGAGGGGACGUGCUGAAGGGCUAAGGAAGAGGCUAAGUGCAUUUACUAUCAUAGUAACCGGAAAAGGCACUCCCUGCUCAGCUGCUCCACGUGACGCUGACAAGGACGGCACCAAUGAGCAACCGUUCCCUGGCACACCAAUUCUGAGCGCGGCGCAGGAGGAUUAAGCCUGCUUUCUGCACUUAGCCUUCCCCGCUGAAGCCUGACUUUCUUCAAGCAGCUCGUCUCACAGAAAUGUUCAGUUUGCAAAACCUGAAGGGCCUUGGUGCAUGGGUACCUGACAAACAAAGAUGUGGUAAUGCUCGCGACCACAUUCCAACACAAACGAGAAACACUUAAACUCUUCUGCCUUUUAUAGACUGAAGAGUGAGUCAGUAAACCCUUAAAUCAGGUUUUCGGCUAGUCCCAAACAGAACCAGCACUGCUAACUCACCAACAACUAAAGAAGCGACUACCAAACAUGCCAAGGGUAAGAGAAGGAGGGCACGUAUGAUGCUGAGGCCUAUAUAGAACUACAGAUUAGGGAUGGCAAUCACAGCAUUCUGACCCUCAGCACGUGCUCUGCUUCUAAUGUUUGCUCCAUCAGCCAAAAUAUCACACUCUAAAGUAACGCUAGCACAGGACAGAUCUCCACAGCAUAUCAUGGAAGGUGGAUCAAACCUCAGGCAGUGGCUUCUACCACAUUACCAAUGAGAGCCCAGUGCUUCCAUCUAGACAAGUCACUACAGCCAGCUCCGUUUAUACUUCAGACGGUGUUACAAAACCUCCAGUCAAUGUGACAUCGGGCUACAGCAGCAUCUGCUGAGGAAACAGCAGAGCAAAGCCACGGCAGGGCACCGCAGGGGUGACGGGGUAGGGCUGGGGAAGCGACCAGGCCUCAUCUCCAACAUCUGACACUGCAUUCACAUCUUUUCAUUUAAUUUAUCAAAGAGUUACUCACUCAAGCACAAAACAAACAAUUAAAAAAAAUUAAAAUGAUUUCUAAUUACUCUCCAAUUAUACCUAGUUCGCACCUCCAUUUCAUUUGUGCUGUUAAUGCUCUCACAGUCUCCACCGCUGCCUUCUUUUAGCCCUACAGCCAUUGCAGGCCUUGAUAAACAGUGUAAGAGGGAGGAAAUAAAAUCAGCUGUGAUAAAGGAACACCGAUAUGGCAAUCAAAAAAUUGCCUUUGGACACACUGAUAUUGAGACAGAUCACCUCUUUCUACAUGCAGUACAUAAUAUUUUAAGAGAACAGCCUGUUGCUCAUUUACAGACAGCGGCAGCCAGAAGCCUGUAUAAAGCACAGCUUAGGCCUGCGAAAAAUAAACCCUACCAGGUAGUGUGCAGAUAUACCGAUGGAAAAUUCAGCAAAAAUAAAAAAAAGAAAUUUACAAACAGGCUGUGGCUGCAAAUUCAACCCGGUACUAUAACGUGAUUAAUAGAUAUCAAGUGACUCAACAGUGGAAAAGAUUGAAAAGAACCCUCUAGUUGUUCAAACAACCAGUGCCUCAUGCAAAACCCUCUUGACACAACUGCUUAAAAGAAAGCAUUGAGUCAUUUGCCUGCGUGGAAGGAGGCAGAGCGAGUUCUGAACAAAUAACAAUAACUCGACGGUUUUUAGCUCGGGCUAAAAUUAACUAAAGUCAGGAAUCAGGGGGUAAAGGAAAAAUAAAAAGCCGUACCUCAACACAUGUAAUUUUAUUUUCACUAAGCCCAGCGUCCUCAUGCAGGCAGCGAGCUCUGCAGGCUGCAGGAAAGCUGCUCGAACCCGAGCGGCAGGCACGCCUCAAGCGUACGCACCGCAGCGGCUUCACUCCCUGCAGCCACACGCCUCCUCGUGUGAGUACAAACGCACGUGGGGGGACACCAGGGCUGAAGCAAAGCUUCUGAGCUCUGAUCGUGGAGGUGCCCCGUGAAAUAAACGUGCCUGAUGUCCCGUCCCUCGGACAGACCCCGUGGCAACAAGCUGGGUCUGUGCAGAACAGAGCAGGGCUGCUGAUACUUCCCCCCCUCCCCCCAGAAAAAAGUGAGGGCUGGAAAAGAUGCUGGGUCUCAGCACGCAGUGCUCGAUCUCGAUUCAUGAAACCUACUUGUGGCUGCUCACUGCGCUGCUCUGGGUCAUGUUUGUUUCACGUGUUACUACUUUUGACUUCCCUCCUGUUAAAUCAGGCGCCAGAGAUAACGCUUGUAAGCAGGCAGUUGCUAUCUCAGUCACUUCUACUUUACUCGUUUAUACAGUAGGACUGAUUUUGAUCGAUCCCUAGAGAAAAUAAGCACUAACUAACAAGGCCAGCAGAGGUACCCACGCUCAGUGACUGAGACAGAACAUCCAAGAGAAAGAAAAGGAGCUGAAAAAGAUCUGAUCUGAAGCCCAGAAGACAAUACAGCAUUUCAAACUGCACUGAUACAGCAAAAAAGCAGCACAGUCCUGCUCUCCUCUCACACUGUAACCGAGACAACUGCAGCAGACUUAACUGGGUUAUUUCUUCUUUAAUCCAGACUGUUUCCAACACGUAACAUACUUUUUCUCAUGCCAUCGCAGGAAGUGCCAGAUGCUAAAAUAUUCGAGGUGACUCCGAGUGGUUAUUCACAGGGUUCAACCAACACGCUUUAAACCAUUUCCCCUAGUUAAGAGACAGAAAGCUGUCCUGCACUAAUUGUCCCCGCAAAUAAAUACAGCUUCAUAAAACCUGUGCCGGUUCUGAAAAAAUGAAAGGCUCUGUGGAAACGUCCCUGUCAGAACAGAGAGCUCCCUUCUAUCUGAUCUCCAGAGCCCAUAGCAGCUACCCAGUCAGUUCUGUCCCAAAAGUGAAAGAUGAAAUAUGUCAGUGCACAGCCACUUGGGCUGGCUGUUCACCCAACAUACUCCUAUUGCUCUGAGGGGGUAUCAGUCCACCCCCGCUAUUCUGGCUCAUUUGUAAACCCUAAGAGGCAUGUCUUUACAUGCAACUGCUUGCACAGACAACUUCCCUUUUCAGCACAGCACCCUACCCCACAGCCAUAAUAAAAUGUAAAUUACGUGCCACACACCUCUCUGACGUGCCCUAUGUAUUAUAAACUUAUUCUGCAGCACAGGCUUUCUGGUCAACCCCUCAUGUGUAGAAUGCUAUAGCAAUGGAGUUUUCUGGCUGUAUAAAGGGGAAAAAAACACCUUCAACUUCUGCAAGCAGCUGCUACAUUUAAUUUUCUUUUAUUUAGGGACAUCAAUUUUGUUAUGACCUUUUAUCUUUUGGUUUGCUUUUUUUUUUGCCAAAAAAAGUAUUAGCAGCAUUGCCAAUCCCAAGCACUCAAAAAUCAUGAAACAGGUCCAAAAAAACAGGCUGGCUUAAUGACAAUCAGAUUAAAGAAAUACAAUAAAAAUGUAUGUUCUUUUUAUUGGCAGUACGAUUGUUGAGCCCUGAGACUUGGUUCUUUCAAGGUAUUCCCCCCAGCCAAACAAGAAGGAGAAGUGAGGAAGAGGAGAAGGAGCUGAGCGUGCUACUCCAUCCUGUCUGGUUCCAGAACUCGGGGGAAAAAUGUCAGAAGAACUGAAAACAUUCCUGAAACUGGAGUAAAAGACACUCGGGCACAUCACUAGUGGCCAGUUACCCUGGGAAGUAUCCUCACGCCAGGCAAAGUUCAGUGCUUGAGAGGAAAUGGGGACACCGAAAACUCAAACGAGCUGCAAGCAACAAGAACUGCUAAAAAUGUUCACAAAAGCACGGGAGGAUUUAUACAAUUAUACCCAUGGUAAUAACCAGCAAAAGAUCAGAGACUGUAAACUUUUCCAUUCGUGCUACAAUCUUUUAGUAACUGCAUAUACUCCGACCUGAGGUGAACAUAAAACCACUCAUCUGGAACCCACUGUCCUGUCAGUCACCCAACUGAGUCACCAGAGCUCGUGGCAUUUCUAUGAUGAGUAUCUCCAGGACCUUUACUGCCAGGCAAGGGAAGUACAGACGUUUUGCAGGUAGAUAACGGCACGGACUCCAUUCAGGUGCCCGUGCUGACCAGACCCCGCGGCAGACAGCACAUGCUUGUUAGACAGAAGAAAAGGGCAUUGCUUUCUUACCUCACUGACAGCGCAUCUCUGUAUGGCGAAGACGACGGCGAAGGUGGUCACUGUCCUGCAGGUGUCAACAAUAAAUUCACAGCUUGUAUUGCUCGCCCGUCUGGCUCGGCCUGCGGCGUGACUGUCGAUCCCAAAGUUGAGGAGGCACUUACUGUAAAGUGUCAGUGGAGGUGGGGCUGGCGGGGGGGUCGGACUGAGACUCGCGCACCGCCGUCCUCCCGGGGCGGGGGUCUUCGGGUGUGUGAGUGUGUGUGUGUGUGCGUGCGGGCUCCUUCCCCCGCGGGGACACGCUCCGGGCUGCUCCGGCGCUGUAGUAGAAAUGAUGUCUGCGGUACAGCGCUCGCUGCCGCUCCGCUCUCCAGUAUGUAAAUGUGUAAUAGAAGCCAAAUAUGGAGCAGUUGGCUGCCUCUGCAACAGCUCAAGGAUCCUACUUCACGCGAAAGAGGGGGGGGGGGAAGGGGGGGGAAGCGGGGAGGAGGAGGAGGAGGAGGCAAGGCAGCACUCUGGCAGGCGGCCAAGAGAGCCACACAGAUUAUUGCAUACGCGCAGCACCGCCGGGGCCGGCGGCCUUAACCCUUUGGGGGCCGCCCGGGGCCGAGCUGCCCUCCUCCCCCCUCUCCCCCCC
ensembl:lncRNA